AUUGAACGCUGGCGGCAGGCUUAACACAUGCAAGUCGAACGAGUGGCGGACGGGUGUGGAUGGCCGGGGAAACUGCCUGAUGGAGGGGGUUAAUUACUGGAAACGGUAGCUAAUACCGCAUACCAUCGGAUGUGCCCAGAUGGGAUUAGCUAGUAGGUGGGGUAAAGGCUGACCUAGCCGACCUUCCCUAGCUGGUCUGAGAGGAUGACCAGCCCCACUGUAACUGAGCCACGGUCCGGACUCAUACGGGAGGGAGCGGUGGGGAAUAUUGCACAAGGGGCGCAAGCCUGAUGCAGCCAUGCCGCGUGUAUGAAGAGGGCCUUCGGGUUGUAAAGUACUUUCAGCGGGGAGGCGUUACUCGACGAAGAAGCACCGGCUAACUCCGUGCCAGCAGCCGCGGUAAUAC
rnacentral:rRNA from 1 species